rnacentral:lncRNA from 1 species
GAUGGGGUCCCACCCGACGGGAGGGAGGCCUGGAUGCAGAGUCUCAGCUCUGGGAUGUUUCCUGGUGACACAGGUUUCAGUUCACAUGCACAGAGGAGGACAGGUGUCUCGGAAUCACUUGUUUAGAGGACAAUGAGGAAGAACCACAGACUCGGGAAUAGAUACAGAAGUAUCUCGAGUAUACUUCUACUAUUUGGUGUCUUUACAGACUGUACUAGCUUCUGUGAUCAUUUCCAAACCGCGCCUUCUUAAAAAUAUGAACAACUUUACUCAUUCCUAUGGCUGCUUUAAGAACGAAAAGACUACAUGUGUCUGAAGACUGUAAUUUGGACCCCAGAAUAAAUGCUAGCCAGGCUUUUUUUUCCCCCUGUAGGUUUUUUGAGACGGGCUAGAGCGGCCUUCCGGCGAGCCAGUGCUUUGAUGGUGGCUUCAUGGCACCAUUUCAUAAACCUAAAAUUAUAGUCGUGGAUAGACUGUUUUAAUUUGUUUUACAUUUCGUGUUUGAAAUCAGUGGCCCCUCUGAGUCUGGAUUGCAUGAGAGCUGUCACUUCCUUGGGCCAGAUAAAUGACGAUAAUUGAUCAAUCAGAAGUAAUUCUUAAUUUACUUUUUAGUGUGAACAACACCGUAAUUCAUCACAUAUGUGCUGACUUAAGUGUUCUAAAAAUAAAGGAAAACAGUUGAGUGUUCAAUAUCAGCUAUUUUUAAAGUGCCAGAGCGGAACAGGCCCUCACUUUAUACAUGACUCAUGAGUUAGACCAGGCUGUAUUCGUAUUGGAAAAUUCUGGGUUCAUCUGUAAGACCCUGCUUCGAUGAAUAAGUUAGAGAGUGAUGAGGAAGACUCUGGAUGCCAGCCUCAGGCCUCCACUUGCAUGCACACAUCUGCACAUGCACAUACGGGAACAUGCAUAGCCUCUUGGCAGUAAUACAAUUUGCCAAUGUAGAAAAUGUGAAAAAUACG